AACAGGGGCGCUAGAGGGCAUCUCUGGCUGAGAUUAGGGCAAACUGCAGUCCUAGGUCGCCUUGAACCUGAUCCGGGUAAUGCCGGCGUAGGAAGUUUAAGGA
rnacentral:ncRNA from 1 species